rnacentral:lncRNA from 1 species
AGACAGGCAAGAGCGACACACACACUGAAAGAGGGGACAAAGCCCGCCUUCCAUGUAAGUGCUUCCAAAUUACAAGGACAUUAUCUGUUUAAAAUAUAGGAAAGGCUUAGCACAUGUCUGCUGUAAAAUACAAACAAAUUGACCCUUUGCCUCUGACAGAACUGGCCCCCUAUCAAAAGUACUUAAACCUGUAAUUCUGUAAGGAGCUGCUUUGAGGGGGGAGGAAGGGGGAAGAAGUCUACGGAAAGAAAAAUCACAGCAUUCCAGAAAAAUGAAACAAAAGAGCAUUCUUGUAUGUGUGCGUGCAUGCGUGUGUUGGGGAGGGGGUGUGUUUUAUUUUGUUUGGCAUUUAUAUUCCAAACAGCUUUAAGAAACAGUGUUUUGGAAAUGAAUGCACGACGUUUGAGCUCAAACUUCAUUUUUGGACAUAAUUACUUUGCUUCUUUUUCCCUCUCCCUUGGCUGUUUGGUAUAUAUUGAUUUAAUUACUCACCUUCCCAUCUGUUUCCUUUCUGCUUUGCACCUCCACCCUGGGACCCUUUCACUGCGCCUGUCUGGAGGAGGGAUGCUAAGAAAGAGACAGCUGGGCCUGGGCAGGCACAGGCCCCAGACAUCCACACGGGAGGAGCCUGCCUUGCUGAGCUGUUUUCCCGGGAUCGCCCUUCGUUUAUGG